GUAGGCUCAAGGGAAAAGAACGCUCCACUUAAUUUGUCUGGCAGUUCUUCUACCGUACUAGCACAGCAUUUGCAUUGCAUGAACAAUUGCAUUUCAAAGGCAAAUUACAAUGUGUUCUCUUACAACAUAAUAUUGUGUAAAAUGUUGCCAAUCUUCAUUAAAAUCGGUCUCUUGGACUCUGGAAUGUCUUCUACUUUCUAAUUUAUCCACUUUUCAUUUAUUUGUUUUUGCAAAUAUUACUCAUCAAUGCUCAACAUUACUCCUUGCUCGAAGUGCAUCCGCAGUUUCUGGUAAAUUAAUGUGUCUAAUUU